AGCCCAGCACGUAUGUGUAUGUGUGCAUGUCAGGGAAAAUUUGUGGGAAUUAUCUUGUGCUUGCCAGAGGAAUGUUUUCAGACAUCACUCUUAGAUGUUCUGUGCGAGUUCGGCACUCUUCCCAGAACGAACGAACUCGUCUUUAAAACAACCAGCAAUUUGCUGUUGAAAUUAAUGAGACCACUGACAGUCGUGAAGUGCAACAGCAGUAGCAGCAGCACGUGGAGGGAUUUUGGAGCAUCGGAAGAGUCAACAGAGAUUUCUCAGGCUACGGAAGGCCGUUAGUUGGCAUUCACAGGCAGUUUCUACUCCAUCUUCCAUUCUAUUAUUGUGCUAUUCUGUGGAGUAUUGCAACCAGAGGCAGUCAAUAUUAUCCCUCUGUUGCAAUGUAUUCUGCAACAAUCUUAUGGCUCAGCGAUUUUCUAUUCGAAGAGCUAUUUUCUUUGAUAUAUAUAUAUAUAUAUAUUUUCAUGCACACAUAACAAUAUAGACGCAGACAGACAAUAUCAUCAGCUUUGACUUGUACUGGCUUUCAACAUUAUAGAGUUCAAGAUGGGAAUGUUUUGUGGAAAAA
rnacentral:lncRNA from 1 species